AGACCCGAAACCCGGUGAUCUAGCCAUGGGCAGGUUGAAGGUUGGGUAACACUAACUGGAGGACCGAACCGACUAAUGUUGAAAAAUUAGCGGAUGACCUGUGGCUGGGGGUGAAAGGCCAAUCAAACCGGGAGAUAGCUGGUUCUCCCCGAAAGCUAUUUAGGUAGCGCCUCGUGAAUUCAUCUCCGGGGGUAGAGCACUGUUUCGGCUAGGGGGCCAUCCCGGCUUACCAACCCGAUGCAAACUGCGAAUACCGGAGAAUGUUAUCACGGGAGACACACGGCGGGUGCUAACGUCCGUCGUGAAGAGGGAAACAACCCAGACCGCCAGCUAAGGUCCCAAAGUCAUGGUUAAGUGGGAAACGAUGUGGGAAGGCCCAGACAGCCAGGAUGUUGGCUUAGAAGCAGCCAUCAUUUAAAGAAAGCGUAAUAGCUCACUGGUCGAGUCGGCCUGCGCGGAAGAUGUAACGGGGCUAAACCAUGCACCGAAGCUGCGGCAGCGAACGUAUCACCCAAGACAACUUUACGGAGUUGACGAUUGACGGAGCGAAGCGACGUCAAAGCGUUCAUUAAAGUCGAGUUGGCUUAGGGAUACGUUCGUUGGGUAGGGGAGCGUUCUGUAAGCCUGUGAAGGUGUGUCGUGAGGCAUGCUGGAGGUAUCAGAAGUGCGAAUGCUGACAUAAGUAACGAUAAAGCGGGUGAAAAGCCCGCUCGCCGGAAGACCAAGGGUUCCUGUCCAACGUUAAUCGGGGCAGGGUGAGUCGAC
rnacentral:rRNA from 1 species